rnacentral:rRNA from 1 species
AACAGGAUUAGAUACCCUGGUAGUCCACGCUGUAAACGAUGUCGACUUGGAGGUUGUGCCCUUGAGGCGUGGCUUCCGGAGCUAACGCGUUAAGUCGACCGCCUGGGGAGUACGGCCGCAAGGUUAAAACUCAAAUGAAUUGACGGGGGCCCGCACAAGCGGUGGAGCAUGUGGUUUAAUUCGAUGCAACGCGAAGAACCUUACCUACUCUUGACAUCCAGAGAAUUUGCUAGAGAUAGCUUAGUGCCUUCGGGAACUCUGAGACAGGUGCUGCAUGGCUGUCGUCAGCUCGUGUUGUGAAAUGUUGGGUUAAGUCCCGCAACGAGCGCAACCCUUAUCCUUUGUUGCCAGCGAGUAAUGUCGGGAACUCAAAGGAGACUGCCGGUGAUAAACCGGAGGAAGGUGGGGAUGACGUCAAGUCAUCAUGGCCCUUACGAGUAGGGCUACACACGUGCUACAAUGGCAUAUACAAAGAGAAGCGAACUCGCGAGAGCAAGCGGACCUCAUAAAGUAUGUCGUAGUCCGGAUUGGAGUCUGCAACUCGACUCCAUGAAGUCGGAAUCGCUAGUAAUCGUAGAUCAGAAUGCUACGGUGAAUACGUUCCCGGGCCUUGUACACACCGCCCGUCACACCAUGGGAGUGGGUUGCAGAAGAAGUAGGUAGCUUAACCUUCGGGAGGGCGCUUACCACUUUGUGAUUCAUGACUGGGGUGAAGUCGUAACAAGGUAACC